rnacentral:rRNA from 1 species
CUCUCUCCGGAGAGAGCGGCAGACGGGUGAGUAACGCGUGGGAACCUACCUUUUGGUACGGAAUAACUCAGGGAAACUUGUGCUAAUACCGUAUGUGCCCUUCGGGGGAAAGAUUUAUCGCCAAAAGAUGGGCCCGCGUUGGAUUAGCUAGUUGGUGAGGUAAUGGCUCACCAAGGCGACGAUCUAUAGCUGGUCUGAGAGGACGAUCAGCCACACUGGGACUGAGGCACGGCCCAG